rnacentral:rRNA from 1 species
UACGGAGGAUGCAAGCGUUAUCCGGAAUGAUUGGGCGUAAAGCGUCCGCAGGUGGCAAUGUAAGUCUGCUGUUAAAGAGUGAGGCUCAACCUCAUAAGAGCAGUGGAAACUACAUAGCUAGAGUGCGUUCGGGGCAAAGGGAAUUCCUGGUGUAGCGGUGAAAUGCGUAGAGAUCAGGAAGAACACCGGUGGCGAAAGCGCUUUGCUAGGCCGCAACUGACACUGAGGGACGAAAGCUAGGGGAGCGAAUGAG